GCAAAGUUGUGUAGUGCGAUCGGUGGAUGCCUUGGCACCAAGAGCCGAUGAAGGACGUUGUGACCUGCGAUAAGCCCUGGGGAGUUGGUGAGCGAGCUGUGAUCCGGGGGUGUCCGAAUGGGGAAACCUGGAAUGUCCGGAGUAGUGUCCGGUGGCCCUGCCCUGAAUGUAUAGGGGUGUGGGUGGUAACGCGGGGAAGUGAAACAUCUUAGUACCCGUAGGAAGAGAAAACAAGUGUGAUUCCGUGAGUAGUGGCGAGCGAAAGCGGAGGAGGCUAAACCGUGUGUGUGUUCAAGCCGGCAGGUGUUGCAUGUGCGGGGUUGUGGGGGCCUUGUGGUUCUGCUGCCGCAGGAUUGGCCAGUGAGAAAUGUUGCGUGAAGGUGAAGCGUCUGGGAAGGCGUACCGGAGUGGGUGAGAGUCCUGUAACUGUAAGCGUGGCACUGGUGUGGGGUUGCCCCGAGUAGCGUGGGACUCGUGGAAUUUCGCGUGAAUCUGGCGGGACCACCCGUCAAGCCUAAAUACUCCUUGGUGACCGAUAGUGGAUGAGUACCGUGAGGGAAGGGUGAAAAGUACCCCGGGAGGGGAGUGAAAGAGUUCCUGAAACCGGUCGCAUGCAAGCCGUCAGAGCCUGUGUGGUGAUGGCGUGCCUUUUGAAGAAUGAGCCUGCGAGUUAGUGAUGCGUGGCGAGGUUAACCCGUGGUGGGGGAGUCGUAGCGAAAGCGAGUCCGAUAAGGGCGUGAGUCGCGUGUUCUAGACCCGAAGCGGUGUGAUCUAUCCAUGGCCAGGAUGAAGCGUCGGUAAGACGUCGUGGAGGUCCGAACCCACUUCAGUUGAAAAUGGAGGGGAUGAGUUGUGGAUAGGGGUGAAAGGCCAAUCAAACACCGUGAUAGCUGGUUCUCCCCGAAAUGCAUUUAGGUGCAGCGUUGCGUGGUUCUUGUUGGAGGUAGAGCACUGGAUGGUCUAGGGGGCUUAUCGGCUUACCGAAAUCAGCCAAACUCCGAAUGCUGGCAAGUGUAGCGUGGCAGUGAGACGGCGGGGGAUAAGCUUCGUCGUCGAGAGGGAAACAGCCCAGAUCAUCAGCUAAGGCCCCUAAGUGGUGACUCAGUGGGAAAGGAUGUGGAGUUGCGUAGACAACCAGGAGGUUGGCUUGGAAGCAGCCAUCCUUGAAAGAGUGCGUAAUAGCUCACUGGUCAAGUGAUUCCGCGCCGAUAAUGUAGCAGGGCUUAAGUUAUCCGCCGAAGCUGUGGCAACCUGUGUGGUUGGGUAGGGGAGCGUCGUGUCAGUGGUGAAGCUGCCGGGUGACUGUGUGGUGGAGUUGAUGCGAGUGAGAAUGCAGGCAUGAGUAGCGUGUGACGGGUGGGAAUCCCGUCCGCCGAUUAUCCAAGGGUUCCAGGGUCAAGUUUGUCUGCCCUGGGUGAGUCGGGUCCUAAGGCGAGGCCGACAGGCGUAGUCGAUGGGUAACCAGUUGAUAUUCUGGUACCGGCUU
rnacentral:rRNA from 1 species